GUCGUAACAAGGUUUCUGUAGGUGAACCUGCGGAAGGAUCAUUA
rnacentral:rRNA from 1 species